AGCUUUAUAGUCAUUUAAUGGCAUUGGACUGCAAAUCUGAAAGAGUAAAUAAAAUUUACUAAGGCUU
rnacentral:tRNA from 1 species